rnacentral:pre_miRNA from 1 species
AGCUUUUCGAAUCUGUGCUGAGAUUUCGUCAAACACCAACAUAUUAGGGCUGGUCGGACUUCCAAGAUAAGUGAAGUC